UGAAUGAAGUGUAGUACCACAAUAAGUUC
rnacentral:sRNA from 1 species